rnacentral:rRNA from 1 species
UACGUAGGGUCCAAGCGUUGUCCGGAAUUAUUGGGCGUAAGGGGCUCGUAGGCGGUUUGUCGCGUCGGGAGUGAAAACACGGGGCUUAACCCCGUGCCUGCUUCCGAUACGGGCAGACUAGAGGUAUGCAGGGGAGAACGGAAUUCCUGGUGUAGCGGUGAAAUGCGCAGAUAUCAGGAGGAACACCGGUGGCGAAGGCGGUUCUCUGGGCAUUAACUGACGCUGAGGAGCGAAAGUGUGGGGAGCGAACAGG